AGGUGGAGCGAAUCUCCAAAAAUUAGUCCCAGUUCAGAUUGCAGGCUGCAACUCGCCUGCAUGAAGUCGGAACUGCUAGUAAUCGUGGAUCAGCAUGCCACGGUGAAUACGUUCCCGGGCCUUGUACACACCGCCCGUCACACCAUGGGAGUCGGUAACACCCGAAGCCUGUAGUCUAACCGCAAGGAGGACGCAGUCGAAGGUGGGAUUGAUGACUGGGGUGAAGUCGUAACAAGGUACC
rnacentral:rRNA from 1 species